GGGAUCAUUACACAAUAAAAUAUGAAGGCCUGGCUUCGCGGCCGGCUGAAAUAUUUUUUCACCCAUGUCUUUUGCGCACUUGUUGUUUCCUGGGCGGGUUCGCCCGCCACCAGGACCAAACCAUAAACCUUUUUCUUAUGCAGUUUCCAUCAGCGUCAGUAAAAACAAUGUAAUAAUUACAACUUUCAACAACGGAUCUCUUGGUUCUGGCAUCGAUGAAGAACGCAGCGAAAUGCGAUACGUAGUGUGAAUUGCAGAAUUCAGUGAAUCAUCGAAUCUUUGAACGCACAUUGCGCCCUUUGGUAUUCCAAAGGGCAUGCCUGUUCGAGCGUCAUUUGUACCUUCAAGCUUUGCUUGGUGUUGGGCGUUUUUGUCUCCCUCUUUCUGGGAGACUCGCCUUAAAACGAUUGGCAGCCGGCCUACUGGUUUCGGAGCGCAGCACAUUUUUUGCGCUUUGUAUCAGGAGAAAAGGACGGUACUCCAUCAAGACUUUUACAAUUUUAACUUUUGACCUCGGAUCAGGUAGGGAUACCCGCUGAACUUAAGCAUAUCAAUAA
rnacentral:sRNA from 1 species